CGAGACCUGAAACGCAAACGGAUUCACGUGAUGAAUGGAUAUUGACGUUCAGCUGCUGCAGGGAUACAAUAGUAGUCAGUUUAAAUUCCAAUAAAUCGAGGAUCCGGAUUGUAAUUCUCGCGGAACAGACAGUAAAUUUAUUGCAGCAGUACUCUCGAUUUCCGCGAGAAUGGAGGAGAAUAGAUCUGGUGGAAAUAAGUGAGAAAAAUAUCAACAGUAUUUAGAUACUGUCGCUGUAUUUACUCUAGCUUUGUCAUCAGUAGACUGUAAAUAUUUGUGUAAAUUUACAUUAAAACGCAAUUAAAAGAGUAGGAUCUGGGCAGAGAUUUGUUUCGCUAAAUAAAUAUUAAAAAAGUACUGUAUUAUGGAUAUUUUAUGGAUCUUUUUUCGAAACUUUAUAAACGUAUCAUGUAUCCUUGCAUGUGUAAAUGUCUCAUAAACCCAUAAAUACUUAUUUUCUCACAAGGAAUAUCAUCCAAUUAAUGCUGAAAUCACAGGUUUUUGUAACGUAACUUGACAGAGUAUAUUACAGGGUUCAUAUAGGAGUAUAAAAAAAAAAUGCUAUUAGCAAUUAGUUUAGCAGCUAUAAUAAAUAUUAAACGACCUUCCUUGUGGGUGAUGAGAAUUUACUACGCUUGAAUUGUGGAGACACUGUUCUAUUGAAAUUUAAACUAGCAUUGUUGUAACACAUAACAUAGAAGAGUAAGGAAAGAAGAAAUAAAUAUACCAACCCAAAUGAGAAUCAUCGCAAGCUUGACCAGGUGGCGGCAUUAUAGCCCAACCGUUGCCAUGAAAACCAAUGCCAAGAAGCUCGCACCUUGGCCCCUCGAGACCCGGAGGACACUCGCACCGAUCUGCCAACGGUGUGCCUCCAUUCAGACAAACGAUCGGUUCAGCAACAUGACAAGUACACUGUGGAUCUACCACAGCUCGCACUCCAACGAACGUACUGAUAUUUGUAUAAACUGGAUAUGGGACCGUGCUUGCAUUCAAAUAAUUACGACAAUUCUCGUUCGAUCUCUUCCGUGUGUUGCGCCAGGAUCGUAUUCAGUUUCUCAGGGGCAUAAUAAGGACUACCAUGUGCUGAGAACCGUACAUCCAAUAAACUGUUGUUAUUGUGAUGUGGCGAAUGAAGCACCGUGAACACGUCCACGUUCUCCACCGAAGAGCGACGAAUUCCGUGGCUGUCAUGCCGAAGAACCGCACGGAACCUGACCUGGCAACUGCUUCCUCAGGCAGCUCUUUCACCGUGACGUUUACGUACGCGUUCACUUGAUGUCGUGGAAUGCGAAUGCUGUACUC